CCUUCAGAUCAGUUGGCAGUUCCUUCCACUGUUCCGGAUGUUGGGGAUAAUAAAAAGUCAAAAAAGAAAAAGAAGGGAAAGGAAAAAGAAACCUCCACUGAACUAGAUAAUGCUGCACAAGAUGAGCCAAAAAUGAACACGGCCCAGGAUCUCUUGGAUCAGGAAAUGCAUGAUAAUAUUGACAAAGAAACAGUUGAUGCUGGCAAAAAAGACGGCGAAGACCAUGAAAAUAGUGCUACUGAAACAAAUUUGGCAACUGACAAUGCUGUUGCAGAUAGUCAGACUUACAGGUUACUCUUCUCAGUUCAAUAUCAUUGUUCAAAUACACGCUUGCUUCCCUCUUGGAGAUUGUAAAUUUUUAAUUGUUUGCCUUUGUUUACAAAUUAUGUUUGUACUGUAGCAGGGAAGCUGGACCUUCUGAUCACUUGGUUGAUCCUUGCACUGUUCCGGAUGUUGGAGAUAUUAAAAAGUCAAAAAAGAAAAAGAAGGGAAAGGAAAAAGAAACCAAGAGUUCUAGUAAUGGCGAUUCCACCGAACUAGAUAAUGCUGAGCAAGAUGAGCCAAAAAUGAACAUGGCCCAGGAUCUCUUGGAUCAGGAAAUAGUUGAUAAUGUUGACAAAGAAGCAGUUGAUGAUGGCAAAAAAGACGG
rnacentral:lncRNA from 1 species